rnacentral:lncRNA from 1 species
UUUAAGUGAAGGGACUUAGCAUGCUUAAAAUUCUGAGGUUGUCACGUGAGGCAUGCCAUCAUUUAUUUUAUCUAUGAUAAAGAGGAAAAUUUGGAACUGGUUAGAAAGAUGCACAGAGAGUUACGGUGUGGACAGUUGAUGCCUGUAGUACAAGCUAUUUUUGGGAAUCGUAGUACAAUGUUAAUUGCUCUGCUGAUCAAAUUCACUGUCCGUUUUGCAUAUUAAUUAAGCGAUAUCUAUAUGCUGCUGGAGUUUUCUGCCCUUUCAGAUAGAUAUGAACUUAUGUAAAUAGAUUCUGUCAGGUCCCUUAAACAGUAUGGAUAACAAUUCUUUGAAUGGUCAUAACGUCUAGGACUGUGAAGUUAGCACCUCAGUAAUUUGGUAGGCCUAAAUUAGUACUGUUGUGCAAUUGUGAUUAUCUGGGAUUCUGCAUCUGUAAAAGUUUCCUGUGGGUUUUGUCGUUCUGUUGAACCUGGGAUCUUUUGCGUCUCUUAAAAAGACAGGAAGUAGUAUAAGAUGUCACUACUUCCUGCAAUAGAAGUAGUGUAGGUAAGUAGUUGAAACUUGCUGGAAUUGAAUCCCUUAUUAUUUUGAGAUGUUACGUGGCGGAAGAUUUGUUCAUUACAGGUAGAAAAUUUGUUCUUGCCUGAGUUGUAGGUUGCCUAUCUGCAUAUGCCUGCUCCUCGGUUAUAUAUGUUUUUCCCUUCGUUCCUCUUCGCGGUACCUAAUCGUUUUGGAAUGCAAAAUUUUGCUUGGAAACCUUUUUCCAUGAUCUUCAGGUAAAAUAUAAUGCUGGAUCGUAUGGACUUUGGCUCAUGUACAUCAACAGCAGAAGCAUCUGAAGGAUCGGUUAGGUGCAUAUAAUGAAGCAAUCACGGUGCUUUGCCAGAUCGAGUUGACUCUCGAGAAAAAGAAAUGCACAGUGCAUGCAUCUUAUACCUGUUUUUGCAGAUGCUGGAAUGUUUCUGCAUGUCUGGAAAUAUUGAUAUGGCAGUGCAGAAAAUAUCUGGAUUCUUCAGUUUGACAACUUACUCUGAUGAACCUCGUUCUGCAUUGCUCUCUGAUAUCCUCAAAUGCCUGACAAUUUCUGACAAAUAUAUGUUCUGGAUUUGUUGUGUGUACUUAGUUAUUUACAGGAAGUUACCCGUUCCCGUGCUUCAGCAGUUUGAGUGUGAGAAAGAUCUCUCUGCAAUUGAGUGGUCACCUGUUGAUUUAAAGGACGAUGAGAAGCAUAGAACCGUCGGGCUAGUUGAAAUCAUGUUAGAUUCUGCACUGCAGUUGUUUUCCAACAAAGAAUCACUGGAGAGUGAAGCCAACAAUAGGGGAGCUCAGUGUUUUGCCCUCAAUCACAUACGGUGUAUGAUGGCACUUGGUAGGUUAGUAUGUUGUUGCACAUUAGUGGAUAAAUAUUUGACUGUGCUUCCACAGUGCUUGGAGUUGGUACUCGUAGCGGCACGAAGCCAAGCUGCUGAUGUUGAUAGUUUAAGGUUCGAUUGGUUCGAGAAUGCCCUCGCCAACUGGCCGAAAGAAGUGCCUGGAAUCCUUGGUUUAUGGAAUCAGUAUGUUGAAUUUGCACGUGAGAGGCGAGGACCUGAUCUUGCUAAGGAACUGCUUGUUUGUUGGUUCAACUCCAUAUCAGAACUUAGAUAUAGGGACAGCACUCCAGUUGGAUCGUUGGAGUUGGCAUCAGUUUCAAAUCCAGAAUUUCUGAUGCCUUAUUCUAAUAAAAUGGACAUAAUGUUUGGAUUCCUCAACGUCUGCCUCGCUAAAAUGUUGCAAAAUGAUCGUACUGGGGCACUUGCUGCCAUCGACAGUGCCCCCGACAGGGCUUUGAAGAGUGCAACCCCAUUCUUUUUUAAACAUUGCUUGGUUGAGCAUGCUACAUGCUUGCUUAACCAUGAACAUGGGCGAACAAAGUAUGCUCCUGUCAAGGACCGGCUGAAGAUUUUGAAAGGUUACUUGGAUGAUUCUGGAGCUCCGUUUGUAUCUGAACCGUUGUCCAGGCGGUUCAUCAAGAAUGUUGGCAAGCCAAGAGUUGAGCAGCUUAUCAGUAACAUACUGAGUCCAGUCUCAUCUGUGUUUUCGCCCGUAAACUUGGUACUCAAGGCGUGGUAUGGUCCACCCUUUGUACUGGAGAAUAUAGUCCAUGCAAUGGAGUUGGUUGACUUUGUUGAAGCGAUAUUGGAGAUAGUGCCGUCUAAUUACCCAUUGGCAUUCUGUCUGUAAGCUGCUCAGAGCAGGCUUCUUCAGAAUUUCAGAUGGAAUGUCAGAUAGUGUACUAUUCUGGUCGAGCUCAAUGUUGGCGGAUACGGUAUUUCAAGCUGUCCCAGUGGCACCUGAAUAUGUUUGGGUUGAGGCGGCGGAGAUAUUGUUAGAAACUAAUGGCGCUGCUGAUUUACUUUCAGAGAGGUUUUACAAGAGAGCUCUGUCAGUGUAUCCAUUUUCGAAGAAGCUUUAGUGUGGGUGUAGAUUUGUGAAUGAAUGAACUCGAUAAUAAUUUGUAUGUAUAUGCCUUCUUUAUAUAGAAGAGGAGGAGGUCUGAGUUAUAAGUCUAUAAGUUAAAGUUUUAUUAGAAUUAGGAUUAUAAUACUAUUCACAUUAAAAAAGGAAAAAUUAUGUUGAAAAAAUUAACUUAAUAAUACUAAAAUUCUAAUACAAAUCUUAAAUUCAUUUAGAGACAAAUCUUAAAUCUUAAUAUAUAAUUCAUUUUAAAUUUUGUUUUGUCAUUUUUUUUCUGAUGAAAUGUUUAUCCAAUUUAACAUGUUUUGCACGAUCAUAAUGAGCUGGAUUUCUUAUUAUGUUUAAUACUGCCUGGCUAUCACAAUAGUUUUACAGGUUGAUUCCCUUCCAACUUCAAUUCUUCGAGGAUGUGUUUUAGUCAAAUUUUCUCACAUAUGCCUUUAGCUACUGCCCUGUACUCAGCUUUAGCGUUUCUCCUUGAGACCACUUCUUGUUUUUUGCAUCUCCAAGUCACUAGAUUGCCCCAUACAUAGGUGCAAAAUGUUGAUGUUGAUAUUCGAUCUGUUAAAUCUCCAGCUCAACUAGAAUCUAUAUACACAGUGAUUCCUCGUUGUGUGUUUUUCUGGAAAUAAAGGCCCAACCCGGGUGUACCUUUUAAGUGCCUUAUAAUUCUCAUUACAGCCGCGAGAUGUUCCUCGUUAGGCUGAUGCAUAUGUUGACUAACAAUACUCACUAUGAAUGAGAUGUAUGGACGAGUAUGUGCCAAGUAUAUUAACUUACCAACCAGACGUUGGUAGCUCUCUACCUUUCCACCAGAGCUGGAUUGGGGUUAUGAGUGAAUUUCAGAUUUGUUUCCAUUGGAGUACUUGUUGGUUUACAGCCAGUCAUUCCAGUUUCCUUAAUAAAUUUAGAACGUAUUUGCGUUGUGAUAGAACUAGAUCUGUACUCGAUCUAGCCACUUCAAUGCCUAGGAAAUAUCAUAAGUUUCCAAUGUCCUUUAUCUCGAAUUCAGAUGCAAGUUUGAACUUCAGCCUCUGAAUCUCUGGUUCAUCGUUUCUAGUGAUGACAAUGUCAUCCACGUAAACAAUUAAAAUGGCAAUUUUUCCAGUUUGUCCAUGUUGAACAAACAUGGUAUGAUCAGUCUGACAUUGAUGGUAGCCACAUCCCUUUACUGCUUGAGAGAAUUGUUCAAACCAUACCCUUGGAGAUUUUUUCAGUCCAUACAAGGCUUUCUUGACCUUACAUAUUUUCAUGGUUCAACUUGAACUCCUGCUGGAACUUUCAUGAAAAUUUCCUCACUUAGAUCACCAUUUAGGAACGUGUUUUUCACGUCUAAUUGGUAGAAAGACCAAUCUAGGUUUACUGCCAAGCUGAGAAGGACCUAUACUGUCUUUAGUUUUGCUACUAGGACAAAAUUCUCCUCAUAGUCCACUCUAUAUGAUUGAGUGAACCCACGAGUGACUAGCCUUGCUUUAUAUCGCUCUAUACUUCCAUCUGAAGCAUACUUGAGAGUGAAAAUCCACUUGUAGUCAAUAGUGGAUUUAUUUGGUGGAAGUUGUACCAUCUCCCAUGUGCCAUUUUUCUCUAGUGCUCUAAUUUCCUCCAUCACGACAUGUCUCCAGUGUGGUACUUGCAUUGCUUCUUCGAUAGAUUUUGGUAUCUCAGUGGAAUCUACACUGCUUACGAAGGAUUGAUACUUGGCACUGAGGUUUUCAUACGUCACCCAUAUUUUAAUCGAAUGUUGAGUGCAAGUACGAGUUCCUUUUCUUUGAGCAAUAGGCAGAUCCAUUGAACUAUUAGGGUCUUUAUUGCCUGCUUCACUACUUGUUGAAGUGUCAGUGUCAAUGUGAGCUUCCUGAGAGACAGGUUGCUCGUCAGAUUAUGCGCAAUUUGAAAGUUGUGUGUCAGGUGUCUUCUUCCUCCGUUGAUACACCAGGAGAAGUUUAUUUGUAUUGUCAUUAGUGCAUUGAGUACCUGUGGGAGUUGCUAUAGGGCUAGAAACUAUUAUGAGAACUGGCAGGGGCUCUAAUGAUAUGAUAUUUCUAAAGGAAGGCUGCUCAAAAUUCUUCCCAUGAGGCUGUUUAGGAAUAGUAGGGCUGAAAUUUAAAAAACUUGACAUCUUUGGAGUGAUAUAUUUUCUUGUGGAGGGGCGAGUGGCACUUGUAACCACUCUGCUUUGAAUAGUACCUGACGAAGACACAAAAAGGGGGGUACGAGAUAACCAUAACCGAUGCCCCAGGAGGGUGCCAAGUAAUUGAUACUUUAUCUUGAAAAAUCAACUGCCCAAAACCCGAAUGAACCUUAAAAAAGUAUAAAUAUUCAAAACUAAGGAAUAAAAAUAUAAAAAUAAGUCUCGUCGUGACCUUUUCUUGAAUUCUCAAAACUUCUGUCGCUCCACCCUUUGGUUAGGUAUUGGAGCAACACUACCUGUUGAUAAAUCGCUAACUUUAGGUCUUUUUCAAAUUGAUUUUAUUUUGAAUUCAAAAUAAUCUCACGCCUGUGUAUCGAGGCAAUAGUCGCUUCAAUAGGCCUUUAGGACCCUGGCCUGUAAAGGGCCCUUUAUGAGACUCUAAAAUAUCUUUUAUACAGUGACCAAUGCCCUCAAAAUAGUCUUGUUAUUGCUUCGACUCAUAUUCCGCAAAAAGUGGAUCUUUCCUUUACGCAGGGACCAGGAGAUUGGAUCUAGCUGUACGAAGAUAGAAUAGAACUAGAAUCUGUGUAUUCGGCUCAAUCUUAGUAAAAGAUUUCUGUAGAUCCUAGGGAAUUGUAUUGUGCUGUAGCAAAACUUAUUGCAAAAGAGGGCAAGUCGGCCACAUUAAAAUUACCUUCGGGUGAGGUGCGUGGAACUUCCAAUUAUGAAUAUAGUAUGAAUAGAAAGUUAAAGCUCUGUAAGAAUAGCUCUAGGAUCUAAUUUAGAGCGAACAGAAGGGGCUACAUGGACAUAAGUUGUGCAACCAAUGAUUUUUGGUGGAAGGUCGGAGGAGAUAGCAUGGCUGUGAGGGAAAGUAGCUAGGAGGAAAUUUCAAGGUGUGUCGAAUUUGAGAGGCCUACUAGGUAGUCGGUUGAUGAGGUAUGUAGCGGUUAGCAUUGCUUCUCCCCAUAAAUGUUUGGGAGCGGUGGAAGCAAAUAACAAUGCCCUAGCUACUUGAAGGAGGUGUCGAUUUUUCCGUUCGGCCACUUCGUUUUGUUGUGGGGUGUAAGGACAGGAACUACUGUGAGUGAUACCAUGAGUUGAGAGAUAACUACCAAGGGAGCUAUUAAAGUUAUCUCGGGCAUUUAUCGGUGUGAAGGAUGCGGAUUUGGGUUUCGAAUAUAAUGUAUAUCUGCUUGUGGAAGGUUUGGAAAAUAGGUAAGGUCUCAAUCUUAGACUUCAUGAGGUAGGUCCAAGUGAGACGAGUAUGAUCCUCGAUGAAUGUGACAAACCAGCGCUAACCAUUAAAGGUUUCGACAGAGCCGGGUCCCUAAAUGUCACUGUGGAUAAUAGAGAAGGGACUGGAGGGACGGUAGGGGGCACUAGGAUAGAUUGUUUUGAUUUGUUUUGUUAAUUGGCACACAUCACAGUGAUAGAAAUCCGAACUUUAAUUGAUAAAGAGCUUAGGGAACAACUUUUGUAAGUAAUGAAAACUAGAGUGACCUAACCAACAGUGCCAUAACAUGACUGGACAUUCUAACUUAUUCGAAUUUGAACUAGAACUUAGAUACUAAAUGCACUGACGCUGUAAUCAUAUCUUUUAAUGUUGUGUUGCUGACGGUGGUUGCCUUCAGAAGAUAUAGACCCGCACACACUUCAAACUGUCCAAUCAUCCUCUGAGUUCCUACUUCCUGUACAUGCAGUGCGAGAGACCAAAGGUUAGUUCACAAUUCAAAUCUUUUGAAUGUUGAUUGACUGAAAUUAGAUUGCAAUUAAGCUUUGGAACAUAUAUAUAAGGAAAUAAUUUAAUAUGAGAGGAGAGGUAGACUGUUCCAAUGCCCUCAACUGUGGCGACAGAGCCAUCGAAAAUUCGAGCACCUGUCUUGCCUGGGUAGGGUUGGAUGUUACGAAGAAAGGUUUUUGAUCCAGUCAUAUGUUCAGGUGCCCCUGAGUCGAGUAUCCGGUUGUUCUGGAACUGGUUUUGAGCAAGAAAGUAGUCGAAUUUUUAUCUUGGCUAGCAAUGAAGUCGGUUGAUGGUCUAUGUUUAGGAACACCUUGAGAGGAUGAUGAAGCCUUGAAUUGUGCCAUCAUCUGUUGGAGAAUAAGAAUCUGGUCUUGUGUGAGAGUUCCCAUGGGAGGCUGGUCGUUGGCAGCAGCGUGUGAGCGCGCUUCAUGUUCUGCCGUUGGCUUCAAAUCAGCAGGUUUCCCAUGGACUUUCCAGCAGGUUUCCUUGGUGUGGCCGAGAUUACCGCAAUGACUGCAGUAAGGGCGUGGUUUUUCAGAUUUUGUGAGACCGCCACCUUGUGAGUUGCUGGCAUAGUUUGCUGCCAGUGCAGAUCCUUCUGUAGGAAUAACCUCCUUAGGUUCAGCCAUCAUGAGUUUCCAACGGCUCUCUUCCCACUUGACUUCAACAAAGGCAGUCCGGACUUCAGGGAGAGGAACUCGACCCAUGAUUCUUCCCUUAACAUUGUCCAGGGAGCGAUUUAGACCCAACAUGAAGCGAAUUGUUCUCUUGGAUUCAAGGAUCUUCUGACAAAAGGAAAAAUCAGUUGUGGAGACCUAGAGAUGCACAUCAUAUAGAUCAUGUUGCAUCCAGAAUUUGCUGAACUCGUCAUAGUAUUGAGUGACCGUCAUCUCUCCUUGUUUUAGGUCAUGGAGACGCAUCUCGAUGUCAAACAACUUAGUUGUAUUCGACUGAUCUGAAUAGGUAUGAUGAGCACUAUCCCAAAUUUCGUAGGCUAUUUUGUGAAGGAGGAAUUUUUCACCAAUCGAGGGGGUCAUGGAGUUGAGAAGCCAUGAUUGCACCAUGUUGUCCUCAAUUUCCCAGUGGUAACUUGAGGAUCGGUUUCAGCGGGAGGUUUGCUUUUGCCAGAGAUGUAGCCCUUCUUUCUUUUGCCGGAGAUGAAUUUGGGGACAAAGGAGGACUACUGGAGGUAAUUAUCACCAUUGAGGCGGUGAUUGGUGAUACUUUCAGUAGUUAUCCGCUCCGCACUUGGCUACCCAGCGUUUACCGUGGGCACGAUAACUGGUACACCAGAGGUGCGUCCUUCUCGGUCCUCUCGUACUAGGGAAAGGUCAUCUCAAUGCUUCCGAUGACCGAGUUGUUGGAGGCAGAGGGGAAGGGCUGGAGUUAUUGUUUUGGUGUUGAUGAGUUUCUGGAACACAAGAGGAGUUAGAUGAUGGUAUCUCAGAGUUGAUGGAUUGACUGGAAAGAUCGUCGUUCACCAUUGAUGAGAUUGAGAGAAAACUGGAAAAAAAUUUCUUGAGGUUUUCUGAUAGUUUUUCUUAGGACGGAAGGGAAACAAGAGAUAUGAAAUCAGAAUUUUGCCGAACCAGACUCUGAUACCAUGCAGAUUUGUGAAUGAAUGAUAACUUGAUAAAAAUCUGUAUGUAUAUGUCUUCCUUAUGUAGAAGAGGAGACUUGAGCUACAAGUUAGAGUUUUACUAAGUCUAGGAUUAUAAUACUAUCCACAUUAGGAAAAAAUUAUACAGAAAAAACUAACCUAAUAAUACUAAAAUUUUAAUACAAAUCCUAUUAUAAUUCUACCGUGAAUAUAAGAACAUGAUGAAAGAUAGAAAAAGGGGGAAUGAUAGCACCACUAGCAGUGUUGUGGAUGAAUUGGCUAGACGAAGAGGUAUAGAACUGGGAUGAAAUUGGGGGCUCUGGGUCUGAUUCAUAGAGAGAAGAAGUACAGUGAAUUUUGUAGGACGAAUUUGUAAGUUGCUCAUGUUAGUUAAGAAUACAUCACAUCAAUACGUAGAUAGACACAAAGAGAUGGAGGAUAGUGAGGAUUUUGACUUUUUAAGGGCUUUAGGAGGGAAGCAGGAUAGAUACGAUAGAUUGACACAGCAGAUAAGUGUUUGUUUGUAACUGGGGUUUAGUUUGUUUUGAUGCAGAUAUUGCGUUUGCUCGUCGUCUGUAUUUCCUAUCCUCUGCCUCGACCAGUUAAUUUGGUACCUAAUUUCCUUGAGUUUAGUGAUUUAGCCCUUCAGGAUGAAUAAUUUUUGUGGUGUGCUGCAAUCCAAUAGGUACCCUUUUCACUAGUGGCAGUGGGCUUGGUAGGUGGAGAAAAGUGAUGUAACAGUAUCUUGUAUGCUUACUGGCAUUCUGUUAGACUGUUUCGAAGUUGAACAUCAGUCAUGUUCUAGAGUUAAUAUAUAGAUGUUGAGAAACGUGUUAGCAUUCUGAUGUUGGAGUGGGACGAAUUUGAUUGGUUCAACUUGUUAUGUCAAUUUUCUUACCAACUCAAGUCAUUGAUUGAUUUCAGUGAGUUUACUUUGUUUGCUAAACACAAAGGAAGCAAGCAAAGCCCUCUACUUCUCAACCCCACCACCACCUGUCCAUCUCUAUUGGUCACAGAGUUUGUGGUUGUCCAUGCAUCUGUCUCUAAAUCAUCAGCAGCGGAGGCACUCUGGCUCAGCAUCUGUUUAAUUAAAACAUUUCAUGUGUUAAGAGUUAACUUUGAUUUGACAUACUCAAUAUUAUACUAGCAUUUUAUUUGGUUUGGCCGCACACAUAUAAUUUAUAUUUUUUAAAAAAUCUAAUUAUAAGGUACAAUCUUAAUAAACUAAGAGAACAUGAGUGUUUAUAAUCAACAAUUACCCAAUUUAAUGUUACAAUAUAUAAAACAAUGUAUUUUAAUUUACUUAGGUUUAGUAGGGCAACACCAUAUUAUAAUAAAAGUCAAUGUAUCAUUUUUUAUUUUUCAAAUAUUUAUAAUAUAUGAUAAAAUAUUAUAUAUAAAGUUUGAUANNNNNNNNNNNNNNNNNNNNNNNNNNNNNNNNNNNNNNNNNNNNUGUAAAAAUAUAAAAGGUGAUUGGACAUAAUUGAUAAUAAAUCCUGCAUAUAUUAUUGAUUAUUAAUUUUGAUAUUAAAUGAUUUUUUUAAAAUGAAAUAUAUCAAGAUUGAUGUCAUUAUACUUAUAACGAACAACAUUUUUAAAGGGAAUAAUGUGUUUAGAGUAAAACAUAAAAUAUUAUGAAGGAAAAACUAAUUAAAAAUGGAAAAAAAUGUGAGUGAGAGAGAGUUUAGAAAACUAAGAUAUUAAUAAAAAAAAUUAAGCAUCUUGGUUUAAGAGAGAAAAUGAUGAAAAGAGCUCCAUUUUUUAAAUAUGUUGAUGUGUUGUGAUACCUGGAGCUGUUUGUGGAGGAGCUUGAUGUAAAGAGAAGCCUGUUGUAGAACUGAGGCAGUAUCCGUCUACAUACAAAGUAAUUAAUAAGAAAAUUAAAUCAAGUCUCAUCAUUCAGAGUAGUUAACCAAGUUUAAUUUCAUCUUCUCCUUAAGGGCUAAGGCUGACUACUGACCUUGCCAUAUGGCGACACCAGCUUCUGCAGCGCUGUGAUUUUAUCGCUUAACUUCUGUUUCCUCCUUGCGGGCACUUCAAUCUGCUCGAAUAUACAUGAAAAGCCUGUUUAAUUACGACACAAACAACCAAUAUGACAAAUACUAUUCUCUACACUCUGAAACUGUGCUGACUGGACUGCUGAGAAAUUAAGUUGAAGGAAUAUUUUCAUAAAUUGUUAUCACUAACUCAUACCUUGAAUUCUUGGAUGUCGACAAACUGCUGUGUCUUUUCAGAAGUAGUGAUGGUGUUGGAUUUCUUCCUCUUCCCACCCUUGCAUUCUAUGCUGCUAACUUCAAUUCUUCGUUUCCUCACUUGUCCACUAUGCGAACAACUCUGUUCAUAUCCCGAUAAACGAAGCAUAAUAACUUCAUAUAUAGUCUUGAACAAUUACCAAUUACUUGAUCAAUCAAUCUAAGCACAGCCCUCACAUAAUUAUCUGCCACUGGAGUCGGAGCAGGACAAGAAACAUUCUUCAGCUGGUUCGAAAAGGUAUCACAGCUUGAAUACAAUCCAUACCCAGUGGGCCCUUCGAAAGGAGAAUCGUAGCUAGUAAUCAAAUUGCUGGAGUCCCAACAGAAGCUGUCAAGGUUCCUGAUAAGCAACAAGUAUGCAAAAUGGUACGAUGAUGAGUUGUAGAACUCAAAAAGUAAAUUGAUUCAAAUUUGUUAGAAAUGAUGAAAGCAACUGUGCAAAGCUUGCACGUACAGAAUUCUGGCGUUGUCCAUUGGCAUUGAGGUGUCCAAACUUGGCAUCACCAGUGCUUCAUUACUACUGCCCCCUGGAAACAUUAUCAAAAUUAAGAACUGGAUAUAUAUAUGAUCAGUGGAUUAAGUAGUUUUACCAAAGUUGUAAGAAAAGAUGCGACGAAGAAAGUGGAAUAACAGAAUCCCUCAUUUUGCCAACAAGACAAGAGAGGGAGAUCGAAGUUGUGUUUGUUGAUUUAAGGUUUGUUUGACAAAUGGGGUUUAGGGUAGCAGUACUGAAGUGGCCUCGCUGCUAACUCUCUAUUUAUUUUUGAGCUAAGCUGUGUUUGGUCAAGGUUAAUCCAUGUUUAAAAAUUAUAACCUUUUUUAAAAACGUUGAUUUUGUCUUUGAGCAAGACCGUAAGGGAUCACAAGGAGACAACGGACGGCUGCAUGAGCUUUAACUAGUGUCUCAAACUUGUUUUUUCUCUUUCACUUAGUCAAAUAUGACAUCCCUUUCGUCUAAUGUUUAACUUGGAUGCUUAUGAUUAGUUGAUAACAUGUUGCUAUUAAUCAUUUUGACUAAUUAUUUGUUUUUUUUACCGUGUCUCCAAGCCGAAUACUCUGUUUUUCUUUUGUUUUUAUUGCAUCAUUUGGGUCUUUACCACUCUUACUGAUCUAGGCUCCAUAGAGUAGAUCAGUAACAUUGGACAUUUUUGAACUUUGUCAAUAAACACAUAUGCACCCGAUCAACCAAUGUUUGUAACCUUAUACGUAUAAAAGACCGUCACGCAAAAUGUUUUUAUACCAAAACCUUAUGAAAUGACUCAUAUUUCUACAUAUGAUUCAUCUUUUAAUAAUUUAACCGCCCAUUAUGUGGCACUCGUAAUUUUAUUAUCAACCUCUUAAGAUAUAUAUCUAGAUUUUACUAUUUACUGGCUGAAAAUUUUUUCGACUAGCUAUCAAAGAAAAAGAAAAUCAGCAAAAUAACUAACUAUGAAAAAGCAAGUUGCAAACUGAUUGCAAAGCUGCCACAUGAAGAAUUGUAUAGAUUGGUGCACAGGAUACAAAUGAGGUGGAUGCAUUUUAUUCAUAUCUGAAUCAAUCUAAGUCGAGAUCCAACUACUUCCCUCCAUACUUUUUUUUUGGUCUGCUCCAUCAUUAAUAUUAGUUCUUAGAACUUUUCGUUUGAUGGUGAUUAUUUCCCAAAAAUGGACCUUAUUGUCUUCAUGUAUAAUUAAUUUCAUUAGUUUCAAACCAAUUAAUUAUAUAUAUCUAGUUUGUCGUCGGCUGAUGUUUAAAAGAAGAGUUGGAAAGGGUUUCGUUUGUCUUUCCCUUGCAACUUAUUUGGUGACAGAAUCAUAUCUACUAAUUAAGGUCUAACACUAAUAAACAAAGCUUAAUCAUUUGCUUCAGGGUUUGACUGGGGGUGCCAGGUCAUGUAUGGCUAUUAGCUCAGCAUAGGUUUUCAAGUAAUAAAAUUUAGGAAUCCUGUCCUGGUUCAAGUUAACGUAAUGCUCAGAAGCUCUAACAUGAUGACAAGUGGCCUCCAUACACAAUCCUACGUACUAUGAAUUUCAUCAAUUCCUUAUUCAUACAACUCUCACUAGCUACUACAUUAACUAUGUCAUCUGUAUUCAUAUAAUAAAACACUUACAAAGUCAAACAUUGCAUGAUUAAUUAUCGACCUCUGAUCUACUAGCUACUAGUUUAUUAUCGUUAACUCAUCUGCAGUCCAAUAUCAGUAUAUCACAAUAACUUUUGGGUUUUAAGUUUUUUAUUUCAUAAGUAAUCAAACAUAUAACUUGGGUUUAUGGAUGCAUAAAUCAUUGUAUCUUGUAUAUCAAAUUCACAUAAACGGUAGUUAAUUUUGCGACACAUAAUUGAAUCGGCAGAAUAUAAAACCAAUUUCGAUCGGACCAUCAAAUUCUAAAUCUUUAAUUUCAUCCGUUUAAUUUCAGUCAGGUUUUAAAAACUAUGCCAGUGUCUAUUAAUAUGGGAUGGAGUGACUGGGCCUCCUGGAAACAAAUAUGAGACAUCGUCUGGGCUAGACUGCCUAAAAGAUAUGGGCCCUUACGGAUGCCAAACUGAGGAGAUUCGUUAGAACUCAAAUAAACAUCAGGCCCAAAAGGCCGCACUGUCGUCCCAUCUAAUACUAUAUAUCCUUAGGGUUUUCCUCCAUAGCGCAUCCUCUCAAAACCCUUACUCUCCAUUGCCGAAGUCGCUGGUGGCGCCACAGAUCUCCUCUGCAUCGUCUAUUCUGGUGCGUACACCCUCCAACUGAAAUCUCUCUUCAUCCCUGAGCUUUGUUCUACUGAUUGUUAUUCCGUCGACUAGUUCGGUGACCUUAUGUUCUGAUAUUUUUUCUUUAAUGUGGUCAGUUACUUGUAAUUGGGAUUUCUAUUCGGUAUUUCAAAUUUCAAUUAUAUUUUUUGAUCGAGAAAGGUCUUUGAUUUUAGUUUGGCUGAAAUGGGAUUCAAAAUUCCUUAAUCAUGUAUAACCUCACCUAUAGAUUACUGAAGUUAAGCAUCAAAUGUCUUCGUCGUUGAGUUUUUGUUUCUUCGAGACCCGAUUUAAGGACCUGGAUCACUAUCAAAAUGCUUGCUGCGUGGUGAUCUUUCUGCACAAAUGAGAUACUAGAUUGCUUCUGUAAUCUGAACUGCCAAAUCGUAAUCCCAACUAUGGCUUUUUAGUGUGCUACAGACUUACUGUAGAUAGGAAAAAUGAAAGAAUAUUAAUUGAGCUUGUGUAUCUUAUAAAUACGUUAUGGGUGUUGACAAUUUGGUUUUGUUACAUUUCUGUAGCAGCAACAAUGGUGAGGAUUAGCGUUUUGAACGAUGCUCUUAAGAGCAUGUACAAUGCAGAGAAGCGUGGUAAGCGCCAGGUCAUGAUCAGGCCUUCCUCGAAAGUGAUCAUCAAGUUUCUUAUUGUGAUGCAGAAACAUGGUAUGUGCCCUGUGUUUUCCUCUUUCUGCUAUUGGUUGAUUUUGUGGUACGUUGCUUAAUAUGGCUUCCUUUUUUUCUGAAUGCAGGAUACAUCGGUGAGUUUGAAUAUGUUGAUGACCACAGAGCUGGCAAAAUUGUUGUGGAGUUGAAUGGAAGGCUGAACAAGUGUGGUGUCAUCAGCCCAAGAUUUGACAUUGGUGUCAAGGAGAUCGAAGGCUGGACUGCUCGCUUGCUUCCAUCUAGACAGGUUGGUCCAUUGCAUUCAUGCUUUGCUUCUAUUCUUAAUUCUGCUAAAUAUUGGUAGCAUUAGUGUGCAAGGAUUGGGACUAUUGUAAUUUUGGCAAGAGUUGUGAAUAUGGUUGAACUCGAUGAUGUGCAGUUUGGAUUCAUUGUGUUGACAACUUCUGCUGGCAUUAUGGACCACGAGGAAGCAAGAAGGAAGAAUGUUGGAGGAAAAGUGCUUGGCUUCUUCUACUAAGGUUGUUGGCUUGAGAUUUGUCUCCUUGAUUAGUUGAAUCAUGGUUACGAGGAGUUUUGGCCUGUAAUUUUGAAUAUGCUUUCUACCCCAUGGAUGCUUUGUAAUGGAUACCUUUGUAAGGUUUAGUCUUUCUGAAACUGUGUUUUUGACACUGAGUGGCAUCCAUCUCCGUCAAGUUGAGAUGACAAAUGAUUUUUGUGCUUCACAUCAAGUCCCGGUUGUAUUUGGUAACGAUCCCAAAAUGAAAUUAUGGCAUCCUCUUUCCCGAAGGAAUUGUGCAGGAAUUCUGGCGGAAUUGAACAAUUGGUUGUUUUCCUUCACAAGAUGGCAUUCCAAGUUUCCAGCCCUCACCUCUUAUUUCUUUUAUUUUUCUUUGUUUCCAGCCCUCACCUCCCUCAUUCCCCUAAUCUCAUUUCCCAGGAGAAUUCAAAAUUCCUGAUUCAAUAAUGCUUCAAUGAAUCAACGGUGAUGUUAAUGAAAUUGCUACCAUCUUCCGCUAUUGUCGGAAUUGAGACAUGCAAUUGUCUCACCUCCAAGAAAAUUUGGGACGGAUCAUGCGAUUGCAAUACUUCUCCAAACAAAUUUGGGACUGCGUCAUACGAUUGGAAUACAUCGUCCAAAUCUUCCUGUCUUAUCCACUCAAAUAGUUGUAUGAAAUUGAGGGGAAAAGUAGAUAACAGGUCGGAAAAAAAAAGCUCAAUCGGCUGCACCACCACCUCUGAUCAACAUAGUCUCGAUCGCUGCCAUCUACUUAAUUUCAUAGGGUAAAUUUAGUAAAUUUAUAGAUGUGAAGCAUUUGGGAAGAUACAUAAUCACAAAUUAGGCUCGAAAUGGGUUGGAAAAUGGGUUAGUAGUUGAGUUGUGUACUAAAUGGUGAACUUGCAGGAAAAUAAUAGUAAGAAUGUGAGGAGGAUUGCCAUCUUGCCGCCAUUAGCUUGCUUUUGUUGUUCUUUCUGUUGCUCCUCCUCCCAAGUCCUGAAAUGUUUUAUGAGAUCUUGAUUAUAAUUAACGGCUAAUCUAUAGCUUAAGUAUUUAUAAUUAUGAACUACUGGCCAGAUUCAUUGGUCCAAUGCCGGCAGAAUUAGGGUAAUAAUAAUGCUGAUAAAUGCAUGUACUGAAUACUGAUGAUUUUAUCGUAUAUUCAUUCAAAGUAUUGGAUGCCACGGUUGGGCGCCAACAAAUUAGAAGACCAAACUGCUUAUAUAGUAGCAAAAAAGACGCUUACAUAUCUUUCGAAUCAUGUAAAGGCAAACCUCACCAUAUAAAUAUAUAUGCUCAGGAUUCUUUUAUUUUGCCUCCUCUUGUGGGGAGAUACUUAACAUCAAUACUCUCCAUAUCAAUCCCGUUAUUACUUGCUAUAUAUCGCGACCAAGAAAAAUUAGCAACAUCAGCUGCCGGCCAUAACUGGAAAGAGGCACUAUAACUUUUUUCAUAACACAGCAAAAAAAGAACUAUCAAGUAUAAACAUGUAACUGAACGUAACUUGAAACCGCGCCGUGUAAAUAGUAAAUACACGACACAACAGUUUAUGUUUCUGCAACAAGUUUAGUUCCAAACUGUAUGGGUAUGGCUGAAACUAUAGACUGAAAUAUCGAAAUUUUCAUGCAUGCUGCAAUUUCUGUUGAGGGUGUGGUGAGGUGUUGUCGUAGGAACUACACGGCUAAACCUGUACAGUUUUGUCAUAUUUUCAUAUCGGAAACCCACACCCACCCACCUGCAUCAACCAUGUCCAAAUGAUUCGUUCAAGUCCAGCGGUUGGACCAACCCAAAUCCGAGUCGGUUUGAUUAAGCUAGCCCAGAUCACAAAAGGGUUGCGAUGGACCGUUUAGAAGCAAAUAGCAGUAGAAAUCUUAUUCAAAUCUAUGAACCAAUAAAUACCUCUUUCAUGCCUUAACAGUGAGGGGAAAAGAACUUCCCUUUAAUGUAGUUUCAACAAAGAUUUAUCCCGGGGAAAAACAAAAGCAAAGAUAGUGGAUUGUUAUCUUCAGCACAGUGAAGGAACAACAACAGCACACAACAAUACCAUAAGUGGUUUCGUUACGAUUAAAAAGACAAGAACACAUUUAUGCCAAAGGUACGUAGUUGCCCUUAACUCAUGAUGUUUUCUCCACACCACAAAUCAAGCACUUCUCUUCACCAUCUUAAUUUCUUGAUGCACAGCACUACUGCAGCAUCAGCAGCAGCUUCAAUCCUGGAGACGGAGGUGAAAGAUGAAGAGUGAUGACCCUCCAGGGGCUUUGAAGGGUGAGAGAGGGAAAAAUAGGUGACAAUGGGUUGUGUGUUUUUGUAGGGUUAGGGAAAAGGGAGGAACUGAGGAAGUGGAAGUGGGUAUGGAGUCCAUGGAAUAGAGGAUCUUCUCAGCAUAUCCCUUCUCUGAUCACUUUUUAGUGAAAGUCUCUGUUUGCUUUUUGAUGGUUUUAUAAAUUUCCCCUGUUUCUCUGUGGAAUCGAAUUGGAAUCUACCUUAAGAUAUUCCAUUUUAGUUAAGUUAGUAGGUCACUGACUGACUGACUGGUGGGGUGUUGUAUAUUUGACACAUUUCCCAACUACUUCUUGCUACUGCACUCUGUUCCUG